UACGGAGGGAGCUAGCGUUGUUCGGAUAUACUGGGCGUAAAGCGCACGUAGGCGGCGUCGUAAGUCAGGGGUGAAAUCCCGGAGCUCAACUCCGGAACUGCCCUUGAAACUGCAAUGCUAGAAUCUUGGAGAGGCGAGUGGAAUUCCGAGUGUAGAGGUGAAAUUCGUAGAUAUUCGCAAGAACACCAGUGGCGAAGGCGGCUCACUGGCCCGGUACUGACGCUGAGGUGCGAAAGCGUGGGGAGCAAACAGG
rnacentral:rRNA from 1 species